UCCGGCGGCAUAGGAUGGGCCUGCGCCGUAUCAGGUUGUAGGGGGUGUAAAGUACCCUCUAGCCAUCAACGCGUACGGGUGUUGGGAGACAUUGCCCGGAGAUGGAUUCUGAGACACGAAUCCAGACCCUACGGGGUGCAGCAGGCGCGAAAACUUGGCAAUGCGAGCAAUCGUGACCAGGGAACUCCAAGUGCGUAGGGUAAGACCUACGCUUUUCUUGACUCUUCAAAGGUCUUGGAAUAAGGGGUGGGUAAGGACGGUGCCAGCCGCCGCGGUAAUACCGGCGCCUCAAGUGGUAGUCGCUUUUAUUGGGCCUAAAACGUCCGUAGCCGGUCUGGUACAUUCGUGGGUAAAUCAACCCGCUCAACGGGUUGAAUUCUGCGAGCACGGCCAGACUUGGGACCGGGAGAGGUGUGGGGUACUCUCAGGGUAGGGGUAAAAUCCUGUCAUCCUGAGAGGACCACCUGUUGCGAAGGCGCCACACUAGAACGGAUCCGACGGUCAGGGACGAAACCUAGGGGCACGAACCGGAUUAGAUACCCGGGUAGUCCUAGGUGUAAACGCUGUGGACUUGAUGUUGGGGGCGCUCCGAGCGCUCUCAGUGUCGAAGCGAAGGUGAUAAGUCCACUGCCUGAGGAGUACGGUCGCAAGGCUGAAACUUAAAGGAAUUGGCGGGGGAGCACUGCAACCUGAGGAUUGUGCGGUUUAAUUGGAUUCAACGCCGGAAAACUCACCAUGGCCGACGGACAAAUGAAAGCCAGUGUAACGAGCUUGCUGGA
rnacentral:rRNA from 1 species